ensembl:lncRNA
UACCUUUUGUGUGUAGGUGCACUGCCCCAAAAGCACAGUUGGAUCUAAAUGAGGACCAUGAUGAUCCUCAGCAUUUAUGCUAAUCUCAAAUGGCCCCUCAAAGUGGGGAAACCAAAUGUUUGCCCCAAGUCACGGCAUGCUGCAAAAACUGUGUGUGUUUGUGUUCUUUCUUCCCUUUUAAACUUAUGAUGAUGAAUAGCAGCGUUCUUCAGAAGUGAAUGGAAAGUCUGUACUUCCAACCAGCAAAGGUUGACUUGCGUGAGAAGAGGAGGGAUCUCUUCUUUUCUUCGGGGUCCAAAGAGAAAAACACCGUUGUUUCUGCACUUCCUUCCCGGUACAGAGAGGCCGGGUAGUGCUGGUAUUUAUAGUCUCAGGGAUGUCAGGGCCGUACCUCGGGGACACCCCAGGGGGACAACUUGGUGCAGAGUUUGGGACAAAGAUCCCCGUAGGCGAGGUUACCAUCAGGCUUUGAACAUGACAGCUCCUGCAGACCCGACUCUGUGGUUCAACUCUACGGUGCAGACCAGCAACUACACACACACGCACACACACACACACACACACACACGCACGCAUUGACUCACUACAGAGGUGCAGUUGAGGACCUUUAGACUAGGGGACUUAUCAGAGCAUGUCCAUGCUUCCACAGCGUUUUCACAACAUGAAGAACGUUUAGUCCGGUCAUGAAAGCAAAAUCACAGGUGGAAAUAACACAUUUCAACUUUAUCUCUCAUAUUUCCCAAAUCAAGAUGUCUGCUGUGAUGCUCAGCAUCAGUCAUCCUGGAAACGAGUUCAGCUACGUCAAAAAAUCCUCCUGACGUAGAAAAUAUCCAUGUUUGAAUUAGCACUAAAUGAUGUUGCUGGUCCCUUCUGUGGUUACAGUUUGAUCCCAGUUUAGUCUGAACUAUACAAACAACACGGGCUGCCAUUUUAACACACAACAGAUGCUCCCAGCCCACAUACAGCCGAGUAUGCUGGGUUUGAAUACAUGAGACAUCCAAUGCAUCCGGAGCUUGCAGCUGAAGCUUCCCCAAGCACCACAGCCGGAGGUGACGGCGGAAACGCCAGAGCAGGACCGGUAAGACCAGGACAGGUCAGAGCAGGACCGGUGAGACCAGGACCGGUGAGAGCAGGACAGGUGAGAGCAGGACAGGUGAGAGCAGGACCGGUGAGAGCAGGACCGGUGAGAGCAGGACAGGUGAGAGCAGGACAGGUCAGAGCAGGACCGGUGAGAGCAGGACCGGUGAGAGCAGGACAGGUCAGAGCAGGACCGGUGAGAGCAGGACCGGUGAGAGCGUCAUAGUGAAACCAGCGAGAGGACGAGGCCGACAAUGAACCGUGCCCAGAGGACUUGGCAUGUGGGGCGGAGGUGCUUCUCUACCUUCAGUAGUCGUUAUGCCACCUGCUCCUUGACUUCCUCUACCGCAACACACAUUUAUCGUCUGAAAGUAGAAACUCCGCCUGUGUGAUUCAGUUUGAUUCACAGCUUCUAGCUGAAACUCGGCUGCUUGCAGAGGAUACAAAGUCUCACCUCGGCUACGCCUCGCUCGUGGAAAAUGCACCGCUCUAAAAAUAGCUCAACAUGAAGAUGUCUGAAAGCCUAACAAGCAACAGAAAAAAAAGGUCAGGGCAGAAGUCUGAAUCCCACGUACGUCCCCACUGUGUGGAGUGGAAUGCAGCCUCCAGCUGGAGGACGCCUGAGUGUGUUUCCCUGAAGGAACAAAAGAUUAAUGAUCGGAUCAGAACUGAAUCUGCUUUGCACAAAAAAACGGGUUAAAACACCAGAAACACAAGAGGAGAAAAGUGUUGUGGGAGAUGUUUUCUCCCGUUUACUCUCCUUGUUGAAAGGUAGACUAAGCCUCGGCUUGGACCUCCACAGACGGCUGGAUGCAGCAACCGAGAGGAAAACGGCAUCCGAUGGCGUGUGUCUCAUGACGGGAGGGAGAAUCACAUCGCCUUCGCUGAGGUCACAUGACGUGGAGUCGGCCGUCUGGCAGACCCAUUGGACGUCCACGCUCUUCACCGUCCAAUCCCAUUAACCGCAGCGCUAAACCCGUUCUCCGUUUGUGUCUGGUCUCCCGGUCUGCCCUUCUAUGUCGUCUUUAUCCGGCCGCUGUCUUUAUGUGCCGCCCCUCGUGUCCAAGAAAAGAAAAACAGUCAGCGACCCGGACGUGGACCGGCUGCUUCAGCUUUCUCCAUCUAUGCACUUCUGCUGAGAUGGUGUUUGACUUUGUCCUCUGAGAUGAAGCGGAGGAGUCGAGCCCUGCGGAACACUCAGAGUACGAGGGAAGAACUGGCCGAGGUCAGAUAUGUUGUGACUGUUUGAUUAUGGAAAAACGCCUGCGUCCAUUAAGGCUCUUAGUGUUUACCGUGUUUUUACUGUUAUUUCACCUGAGAACAUCAGACUAUGACUGCUGUCUGCUGGGUCUGUAUUUAAUCAAACUCAUUAAUGUGAACCUUUGGACUUAAAUGAAAGCGAAACUAAAAAAUAACUUUCUCACACACACAUGACUGACAUGUGUUAAAUGUAUUUGACUUUGAAUACCAUUCAUUUUAAGGAGCUCCAGACUUCAUUCAGAAUUAGGUGGUACCUUGUAGUUCAUGCAAGAAAUGACAUUUUUCGGACGGUAUCUUAUGCGUUACAGAGAAGUGCAAAUGACGAGGAUGAUGAGAUCCACACACCAAAUCUUACUUUGCACAGACACAGAUUACACGUGACACAAAUUACAUUUCCCAAGCAAAGAAAACAAGCAAUGUAAAAUGCACUCAACAUCUCGUGGUUACAUGUUUUCAGUAUACAGAUGAUCCUGAAACACUAGAAACAAUGUGACGGCAGAAUAAAAACAAUGAUUAAGGUGAUGAUUAACUGAAGCUGGCUGCACAACAUGUAGCGUGUGUGUGUGUGUGUGUCUCACAGUGACGUCAUCCCUCCAAUCAGAGACCGCAAGGAAGAAAUAGAUUAAAGUCGUAGCUGCUCUUACAACCAUCGAGUUAUUAACGACCAAAGUAAUUCAUCUUUCUGUUCAUGUAGCUAUCUCAGGAAAUGAUUUCACCAAACAGAAGGGGGUUGUUUCUUUCACGUGCACUCAGGCUGACGGAUCAGUACCGUAUUUAUUGGUCAGCUUUAUUGAUUCAUCAUUGACGUGGCUUUAUUAAAAUGCUUUCAAAAUGUGAAUUUGAGCUGCUGAACCUUUACAACAACAUUCUGGAAGGUUUAGGGACAAUGACCUCUGACCCCUGCGUUAGACAGUCCAAAGUAGUUUAAAGGUGUGGUUCUCUCUCUCACCAUUACUUAUCUUACUCGCUGACUCAGAGAAUCAACGUCUCUAGUUUUCAGAAUGCGUUUAGUCUGGUGAGCUCGCUCGCAGGUCGUUGGCUUGUUGGGGCUGAGAAGUCACCAGUUCUCUGGCCAGCUGCAGGAAUCAGGUCGUUGGGUCGAAGCCCAGUGGGACCAGUAGGUCCACGUUGGUUUUCUUUGUUUCUACUUAGAAGAAUCAUUUUGUCCCAUUCUAAUUUGUUGGUGGCUGUUUGUUGUUCAGACUGUAACGUGGGCUCAUUAAUAUCACGUUUUUUAUACUUUUGAGAAUCUGACUGUGAUGUUAAGAUGCUUUUCAAGUCCCGCCUCCAGUUUUUACUGUUCCGAGGUCGAAGGACCUUUACAAAGACAAACAUUUACGUGUUACUUUCAGGGACUAUAGUAUGCGAUGGAAGGAUAUGAUGUAUGUAUGUAAUGUGUCCAAAUUGCAACACGUGUGUAGUGUUACAUAGUAGCUCCACACAGACGUAGCAUACUACGUAUGACACCAGAGGGCGGCUCAUGGAGGUUCGCCAGGUUCCAAGCAGGAUUGUUAUUGGAGCGUUGAGUGGAGGGGGCGGGACUUCUAACUUAAAGGAUGCUCCUUGGAACAUGAAGAUGGGCUCAGGUCAGAGUAGCAAGUUAAGAGAACUCCUAAACUUUCUCUUUGUAUUUAUGUGUCAUUCGUAUGUCACCGAGAUCUAGUGUGUAUGUGUGUGUGUGUGUGUGUGUGUGUGCAGUACACAAUCAACCACUAGUGGAAAAACUAUAUCUUUAGAAACGUCAGGCCGACUUCGACAAUCAGCCCCUCCCUCUCUUUGCUGGUGGUCGCCUCCUGCAGCGAACAGGCUGCGCGUGGUUGCAGGUCUAGAAAUCCACCACACCAGGGAUGGACGUGGUGAGGCCCGUUGUCAAACCAGUGCACUUUGCUUUUUGGGAUUCAUGUGAAAGCUCCGGCAUCCAAAGGUCGGCCCGACUCACAGGCCAGAACUGAGAUUCUCUGUGGUGUGCGUCUGUUAGUCGGUUCCCCUCUCGUCUCCCUGGUGGUGGUUUCAGUGGUGGAAUAAGAGGAGAGACGGUUCCUUCAUGGGACUAGAGAUGAGUCUCUGUAGGUCCGUCCCACAGACUUACAAGUUGUUGUUGCACUAUUACUUUCCCCAUGCACAUAUGUUGCUGGUAGUUUCCUUGUACACAUGUUUUGUAUGAUUGAGUCACAUUAAUAUUACAGUAGUUGGGUUUUUGAAGCCAUGAACCUUUGUAAUGAUGAAAAAGACUGGGAGAUUUAAUGGAACAUGUUGGUGUCCUUCUCACAUUCACAUGAACAGUUCUGUCUAGGUGUUGCAGCAGCACAGUAUGAAAUGAGCUUACAGCUGAGGCAUCUGUAUUCGCACUCAUUUGAAUAUUGUCCAUAGUCACAUUUGCGACUUAUGUCCAGCACAGGACACCGUGGUGCAUCCCGGAGCUGUAGAGUGGUCUCAAUGUGGACUUCUCUCUCCUAUGAUGUAGUUGUCUCUGUACUGGACCUGCAGAGACGCUUGAAUAGUCCCGUGUUAUUCUGCACAUUUCAACAAACAAACACAUUUAUGUGGCAGUGCGUAACAAAAAUAGAAGAUAAAAACUCCCCCAGUGGAUUCAAGGAAUGAUAGUUUGUUUCAAUUGUGCUCUGCGAUUCUAUUUAUAUAUUAUAUAACAGACACAGUAUAUAUAUAUAUAUUUGAGAAUGUUUGAAUAUUGUUUGGAUCCCCCCCCCCUCCCUGUUUUUGGUCAAAAAUGGAUUCAUGAAUCUCUAACUGGUUCUUCAAUCGAUCGAUGUCCCGUCCAUUGACUGACCUCCUGGACGCGUUCGUACUUUAUAUUGUAUCAAAGUCCCGUCCCUCAUUCUUCUUUGUAGCAAUAACACGUUAGGCUUCUUUCCUGUCGAGAAGCAGUGGAGAAACGCAGUGAAGGUACAAUUAUGUGGCCCAUUGAAAUGUCUAUUUUUGUAAAAAUCACUGACGCUCUCGUGAUAAAGACCCCCGUCAGGAACAUGCAACAAGUAGCACCUUAAAUCUGGCUGUAAGUCAUUGCUAACGGAAGGGCCACCUCUGUUGCUGCUCAAAAACAUCUCAGAAUAAUAAAUAUAUAUAUUUGAUCUGCUCAUAUGUGCACCUCAAGAGCUUCAACAAUUAAGAAGAGAACAGAUAUAAUGAACUAUAUAUAUAUAUAUAUAUAUAUAUAUAUA